UGGGGAAUUGUUCGCAAUGGGCGCAAGCCUGACGACGCAACGCCGCGUGGAGGAUGAAGAUUUUCGGAUCGUAAACUCCUGUCGAAUGGGACGAAUGGCCUGGCCGUGAAUAGCGGUCAGGAAUGACGGUACCGUGAGAGGAAGCCCCGGCUAACUCCGUGCCAGCAGCCGCGGUAAUACGGGGGGGGCAAGCGUUGUUCGGAAUUACUGGGCGUAAAGGGCUCGUAGGUGGCCACCUAAGUCCGACGUGAAAUCCCUCGGCUCAACCGGGGAACUGCGUCGGAUACUGGGUGGCUUGAAUCCGGGAGAGGGACGUGGAAUUCCAGGUGUAGCGGUGAAAUGCGUAGAUAUCUGGAGGAACACCGGUGGCGAAGGCGGCGUCCUGGACCGGUAUUGACACUGAGGAGCGAAAGCCAGGGGAGCAAACGGG
rnacentral:rRNA from 1 species